rnacentral:rRNA from 1 species
AUGGACUUGAUGCAUGAAAGGUCUUCGGUGCCACAGUACUUGUCAGAUCAUCAUGCAGACGUUCUUUCGAAGGGGAACUUGUCGCAUCCCAAAAUGAGCAAGGCAAAAGCCCUCGUUCAACGAAGCUCGAACUUGACGAAAUCCACAAACAGGACUUGGCGCGGGCGUGACGAUGCAAAGGAAAUGUGCGGCGGACGCUGCUGUUCAUCUGCUUUGAGCAGAGGCGAGGCCAUGGUGGAUGCAGACGAUGACGCAGUAGCAGACUUGAUACCGGGGAGCAGCAGAGGGACUACGAUGAACAACAUGAUGCAGGUUGGGCGGCGGAGGUUGACGGGUCUAGGCGAGGUCGCCGGCAGCAGGGGCUGCGACGUGGCCGGGCGCCGUGUCUGGUGGUGCGGCGCGAGGAAGGAGAGGCCGGCAGGGGCGCGGCAAACCAUGGAGGCCGGCGGUGCCAUGGGGAUCGGCGUGAGGAGGGGAUGA